AACGUACGCUGCAACGAAGAGUGUAGUUCCGCGAAUUGUUAAAUGUUUUUUUGUUUUAGUAAAAAAGUGUUUAAAAUACAAUAUGAAUGAUAUUUAAACUAAUAUAUGCAAUAAAAACUAUAAUAUUAAAGAAAGAAAAGUGUUGAGUUUAAUGCAGUUUAAAGUUUGAAAAGAAAUUGGCGUUCUUAACAAUGCCGAAAAUAGUUAUAAAAUGGACGAGCAUAGAACGAUAAAGGACCAGCAAAAUUCUGAAAAAUUUGUGUUUACAUGACUUAAUUGUAAAAACAAUAUGUAAAUGAAAAAGUUAUUUUAAAUGUUUUGUUUAUGGUGCUUUUUAACUCAAGCAAGGCGCUGAAAUUAUUCAACCCCAAAAGUUUACUUGAAGAAAACAGAAUCAUAGUAAAAACGGGGAAUUGUUUUAAAACGCUAAAUCCACUGCCCCUCUUCACAUAAAUUUAAGUUAUGCGUAAAGCAGAAAAUAGCAAAUCAAAAAAAUAAAUAAACUGAAUGUGGUAAGAAAGGAAAAUGCGAUUGACAAUUUAUAAAGAAGCAUGUCAAAAAUAAUAAAAAUAAAAACGCAAAAACAUACCAUAUAAGGUUGUAUUUAUAUAGCGCGCAUUAAUAAUGAGUUGAUUAUAUGUAAAUACCAUAUUGCCAAAGACAACUGAAUGAAAAUAUAUAUUAAUAUAGACUUAUAAAAAGUGUUUAAUCGUGAAAUUUGUAAAAGUAGUUAUAUUUUAUAAAAAUUAUUUACGUGUGAUACGAUAAUAUUCGCAAGUAAAAUCUAUAAUUUUGUUCAAAAUACAACCAUGCGUUAAAAGGAAAACAAAAAGUUUUUGUUGUAAAACAUCAAAACGAAAGGGGAAAAAAGGAAUUAUAGCGCAAAGGAGGUACGAAAAAUUUUCCAAUUUCAAAGAAAAUUUUUGACUUUGACGUUUUUAUGGAGUGUGAAGAAAAAAAUUAAGAAAAAAUGUAAAAAUUACUAAAAAGAAAAUGGAGGAAAAGUGAAAAGUUUGAUUAAUUUUAUAAUUUUUUCCGCAGUCAAAUUUUGCUUAAAUAGUUUAUUAUAUUUUCUUCAAAUAUUUACAUAAAGUUUUCCACCAAAUAACGAAAGGGAAAUCAAUAAAUGCAAAGAGGAAAAGCAAUUCGGUAUGAAAACUGAAACUAUGCAGAAAAAAUGUGGAAUGUGAGAAAAAUUGAAAAAUAAUAAAAACUUUGACUGAAAUAAGUUUUAUAAAUGUAAAUCGUACAAAAAUAUUUGUAAAAUAAAAUUAACGCACUUUUUUUACGAAACAAACAACGUUUAAAUAAAAUGGAAAUGGCCAGCAGCGCAGCUAAUAGUACUCUAAGCAGCGCCACUUCGCGUAGUGCAAAUGCGUUGCCCUCGCUUUUUGGGGACCAUAGCGUCAGUGGCGGUGUCGGUUCAACAACUGCUGGCAAAGAUCUUGAUGGUCUAAUGGCCAUGAAUGACAGUGCUCUGUCGCAACAAAUCGAAUUUAUAUUGCAGGAUGCUCCUAUGGAGCAAGACGAUGAAGUUGUAAAUGGAAUGGUGACGGAAAAUACUAUUGUCACUAGCAAUAAAAUAAAAUUAAAAAACCCACCGAACAAUAUCAUAACAAGCGCUUCCGAUUAUAAUCACUCAGCGGAGGGAACAACAAUUGUCGCAAAUACGCAAUCUGCUCAACAGCUAAACCAGUUGCAUGAGCGUCGCAUAAUUAUACAAUCAAGAGCUGUUGCCGCUAUCAAAGAGGAAGAUGAUAUGGAAGAUCCAGAAUUGAAUGAUGAAAAUUUACAAGAUAUAGCAGAGGAAGCGCAGGCCGCAGACGAAGAUGAAGAUCCACCACAUUUGCACACACACGUAAAAUUAGAGCGGCAAGAUCCGAAUGAAAUGAGUUCAGAUAAUAAUAUGGAAUAUAUCACAACACCAACAAUCACUACACACCAUUCAGCACUUGUGUCGCAGGCACCACAACUGGUAUUGCCAGCUGGUUCAAUAGUAAGUACUUCCGGCAGAGCUUUAUCAGUUCCAGUAUCUGAAGCAUUGGUACAACUACAACGACGUCCUGUUUACAUAAGCAACUCUUUGGGCGGUGUGACGGGUGCUACAUUCGUGCGUAUGCCUGCUGUUAUAAGUAGAAAUCCAAUGACAGUGCUUAACGUAGUACAGCAAGGUGUGCCUGUGGGUGGACCUACAACACAACUCAUUCUGCAAGCAGCUCCAGUUUCAAAUUCAACAGCAACUUCAGUCGUUGUGAACUCUAGUAAUUCUGCCAUUGUAGCCGCAAGUUCAACAAAUACUUCCUUGCCCAUAACUGAAACAGUUGUUGCUGCACCAUCCACAGCAAUUGUUUCAGCAUCUUCCACAACCGCUCCAUUGCCAUCAAGUUCAACAACAAUCAAUAAUGCACCUGUUAGCGCAUCACCAUUAUCAACUUCUAAUGUUGUCGUCCAAGCAAGCUCAACACCGACUACCGCUGCAGCAUCCACCACUACCACAACUUAUCAAUGCUUAGAGUGCGUUGAAAAGUUCGAUUCUAAAGAACUAUUCGAUAUCCAUCGCUCCGGCCAUGCCAAUAACAUGAAAUGCGCUAUUUGCAAUAUGGUUUUGAAGUCUCUUAAGAACUAUGAGAAACACUGUCUGCGUUGUAAACCUUACGAAUGCCAGAUAUGUGGGCGUGUUGUACGUUUCAGACCAAAUUUUAUUAAACACAUGCGAGUUCACACCGGUCAGCAAUCGGAACGACACAAAUAUAAAUGCGAUGUCUGCCACAAAGAGUUUAUGAGCUUCGAGUACUUUAAGGUGCACAAAAAAAUUCACAACGAAAACGUUAAUCUAACAUGUGAAAUAUGUGGGAAAGUAUUUAGCGCUCUAGCAUCUUUACGCGGCCAUUCAAAACUACAUUCUGGUGUUAAACUACAUAAAUGUGAUGUUUGUGGUAAAGGUUUUGGUCAACGUUACAAUUUAAAAAUUCAUGCUCGCACACAUACUGGUGAUUUUCCUUUCGAAUGCAAAAUCUGUAAUAAAAAGUUGCACACGCAAUCCUCGCUUCAAACACAUAUGCAGGUGCAUCAACGUGAUCAAACAUCUCAAGUAACCACAACUAUUAAAUAUGAGCAAUCCUCGUCCACUACAACAAGUAGUGGCACUUCAAACACAAAAACUUCUACUACACCGGCUAUAGUAAAGUUGGAACCACAAUCAAGUCUUGAUGGUCCCAGCACUAGCGGGUUGCAACAUCAGCAUCACGAUGAUAUGGAUGAUAAUUCAGGCAUGAGUGAUGGCAUGCAUGGUACACACAUUGUAACUACUACAUCCACUAUUAAAAAUUCACAUUUAACUACUGGUGAUGAUUCUUCGAAUGAAUCAAACGCAUCUCAUGAAUUGCAACGCCACCAACAGCAACAGCACCAACAACAAUUGCUUUUAUCCACACCCACACGUACUAUUGUUUUCAAAAAUUAUAUGCAAAAUGAUCCAAAUAUAAGUGGCAUCACUCAGCAACAAACUCAAGUUAUACAGGGUGUUGGUUCGAGUAGUACUUUACAGCAACAAUUACUGCGUAAAACACCAAUUAUACAUUCAACUGGUGGAGCCACAACGCUUUCUUCCGCACUAGCCAGUGUAGUGCAACAAACAGGUAUAUCGCCAUCACCAUCACCAUCGUCCUCUUCAACUUCGUGUUCCUCAUCUGUUGUGGUCAAUAAGACAUUAGCUCUUGGUUCUGUUGGCAUUGGUACCUCAACUAUACGUAGCACACAUAAUCAUAACUCGAAUUCAAUCAGCAACAAUCAUCGUGCAUUGCAACGCAAUAACCACCGAAACCACCACCGACAUCGCCAUCCAGCUGAUUUGGAUGAUGAUGAAAAUGACCACGAUCCCAAUUUACAUCGUGCUACAAAUGGCCGACAUUUUGAUGAUGAUGACGAUGAUGAGAAAUCUUCCCCGUCCCUGGCUACAACUGCCAUUAUUAAAACUGAACCAAACUUUUACUCUUCCGGUUCGGGUGAUAAUUCGAAUGAUUUACUUAUUAAAAAGGAAAUAAUGUUUGAAGAUUCAGCCGCGCCGCAAUCUCCACAUUCACCACCGAGUUCAAAAUAUCGCAUAUCAAACUUUGAUAGUGAUCUUGUAGACCACCAUGUCGAUUUAACUCAUGUGCUGCCACCUUACGGAAAUCUUUUCGAACCGCAUUCCAUACCUGACAGCAUACCAACACAAUUAUAUCCAGAUGACGAUGAUGAUUUUCGUUUAGAUCAUAGCUCAUUAGGUGCUCUACAUAAUACAUCAUCCUCUACGAAUGAUGGUGAUUUUAUUAAAAAAGAAUGGGCAUACGGAGCUGGUUCCAGUUACACUAUGAAUGGUAAAUUUGAUGAUGAUAGUGAUGCACUUUGUGAUGCUGCAAGUUUUAUUUAUAAUUAAAUUCAUAAUUAAACAAUUUGGACAUAAAAUGAAAGCGGACAACUUACCACUCUAUGUUAACUGAUGGAUUGAAUUCAAAGAAUAUGGUACCUUUUUGAACCAAUUUUGAUACGGAAAAAAAUGUUCAAGUGAUAACCGUGGCUUAGGGCAAUGCUAUGUAGCGUGUCUCGGGUUCUAACCCAGAUCCUUAAUCUGGAUUAGCUUGGUAGCCUUAUUUGUGUUCAAAGUAGCUUGAGCACUUGUAAUCCAAACUAAUUGGUGAGAGAAAUAACAGUGAGGAUUGAUAUGCAUUG